AUUGAACGCUGGCGGCAGGCCUAACACAUGCAAGUCGAACGAGUGGCAGACGGGUGAGAAAUGUCUGGGAAACUGCCUGAUGUAGGGGGAUAACUACUGGAAACGGUAGCUAAUACCGCCUACCAUCGGAUGUGCCCAGAUGGGAUUAGCUAGUAGGUGGGGUAAAGGCUCACCUAGGCGCCGAGCCCUAGCUGGCCUGAGAGGAUGACCUGCCACACUGGAACUGCGCCACGGUCCGUACUCCUACGGGUGGCAGCAGUGUGGAAUAUUGCACACUGGGCGCAAGCCUGCUGCAGCCAUGCCGCGUGUGUGAAGAAGGCCUUCGGUUUGUAACGCACUUUCAGCGAGGAGGCGUUACUCGCAGAAGAAGCACCGGCUAACUCCGUGCCAGCAGCCGCGGUAAUUC
rnacentral:rRNA from 1 species